ACGGCUCAGUAACACGUGGCUAACCUGCCCUUGGGACGAGAACAACCCCGGGAAACUGGGGCUAAUUCUCGAUAGGCGAAAAUCUCUGGAAUGAGUUUUCACCCAAAAAGUUUGAGGUUAUGCUCUUCAAACCGCCCAAGGAUGGGGCCGCGACCGAUCAGGUUGUUGGUGAGGUAAUGGCUCACCAAGCCUUUUACCGGUGCGGGCCGUGGGAGCGGGAGCCCGGAGAUGGGCACUGAGACAAGGGCCCAGGCCCUACGGGGCGCAGCAGUCGCGAAAACUUUGCAAUAAGCGAAAGCUUGACAGGGCUAUCCCGAGUGCCAUCCGCUGAGGAAGGCUUUUACCCAGUCUAGAACGCUGGGGGAAUAAGGAGAGGGCAAGUCUGGUGUCAGCCGCCGCGGUAAUACCAGCUCUCCGAGUGGUGUGGAUGUUUAUUGGGCCUAAAGCAUCCGUAGCUGGCUAGGUUAGUCCCCUGUUAAAUCCACCGAAUUAAUCGUUGGAUUGCGGGGGAUACUGCUUGGCUAGGGGACGAGAGAGGCAGACGGUAUUUCCGGGGUAGGGGUGAAAUCCUAUAAUCCCGGGAAGACCACCAGUGGCGAAGGCUGUCUGCUAGAACGCGCCCGACGGUGAGGGAUGAAAGCUGGGGGAGCGAACCGGAUUAGAUACCCGGGCAGUCCCAGCUGUAAACGAUGCAGACUAGGUGUUUGGACGGCCACGUGCCGUUCUAGUGCCGCAGGGAAGCUGUUAAGUCUGCCGCCUGGGGAGUACGAUCGCAAGAUUGAAACUUAAAGGAAUUGGCGGGGGAGCAC
rnacentral:rRNA from 1 species